rnacentral:misc_RNA from 1 species
UAAUUUAGGAAACAUUAAAAAAAAAAAAAAAUCAUUGCAAUUUAAAUCAUGAUUUAUUUGCGAUGUUUUCGAAAGUGUUUCUGAGAGUACUUAGUAGUAGUGAUGUAUCUGAUAAAGUAGUAGUGAAGUAUCUGAUACAGUGAUAAUUGCUAUCCAAAUGCUUCGAUCUACGUACCUUUUACCUUUAAUGAAGAAACUUUAUGCUAAAAAAAGCUAACAAUCCCUUAAAUCUAUGCUUUUUAUUGUUGCAGGAAAUUGCUGUGUUUGAUGACAGUAAUGCUCUUAACAUCAUGUUGCCAAAGUUGUCAAAGAUACAAAAAUGUUUUCAUCUGUUCACUUUUUCUACAACCAAGCAAGAAUGAAAAGACAGUAGACAUAAGUUCUGUUUAUAACACAAGGUCCCGUAUGAAAACUUCCAAAAGGUUUCAAGC